rnacentral:rRNA from 1 species
AUUGAACGCUGGCGGCAGGCCUAACACAUGCAAGUCGAGCGGCAGCGGAAAGUAGCUUGCUACUUUGCCGGCGAGCGGCGGACGGGUGAGUAAUGUCUGGGAAACUGCCUGAUGGAGGGGGAUAACUACUGGAAACGGUAGCUAAUACCGCAUGACCUCGAAAGAGCAAAGUGGGGGAUCUUCGGACCUCACGCCAUCGGAUGUGCCCAGAUGGGAUUAGCUAGUAGGUGAGGUAAUGGCUCACCUAGGCGACGAUCCCUAGCUGGUCUGAGAGGAUGACCAGCCACACUGGAACUGAGACACGGUCCAGACUCCUACGGGAGGCAGCAGUGGGGAAUAUUGCACAAUGGGCGCAAGCCUGAUGCAGCCAUGCCGCGUGUGUGAAGAAGGCCUUAGGGUUGUAAAGCACUUUCAGCGAGGAGGAAGGCAUCAUACUUAAUACGUGUGGUGAUUGACGUUACUCGCAGAAGAAGCACCGGCUAACUCCGUGCCAGCAGCCGCGGUAAUACGGAGGGUGCAAGCGUUAAUCGGAAUUACUGGGCGUAAAGCGCACGCAGGCGGUUUGUUAAGUCAGAUGUGAAAUCCCCGCGCUUAACGUGGGAACUGCAUUUGAAACUGGCAAGCUAGAGUCUUGUAGAGGGGGGGUAGAAUUCCAGGUGUAGCGGUGAAAUGCGUAGAGAUCUGGAGGAAUACCGGUGGCGAAGGCGGCCCCCUGGACAAAGACUGACGCUCAGGUGCGAAAGCGUGGGGAGCAAACAGG